rnacentral:rRNA from 1 species
CAGCAGCCGCGGUAAUGCGUAGGUGGCAAGCGUUGUCCGGAAUUAUUGGGCGUAAAGGGCUCGCAGGCGGUUUCUUAAGUCCGAUGUGAAAGCCCCCGGCUCAACCGGGGAGGGUCAUUGGAAACUGGGAAACUUGAGUGCAGAAGAGGAGAGUGGAAUUCCACGUGUAGCGGUGAAAUGCGUAGAGAUGUGGAGGAACACCAGUGGCGAAGGCGACUCUCUGGUUUGUAACUGACGCUGAGGAGCGAAAGCGCGGGGAGCGAACAGGAUUAGAUACCCCGGUAGUCCCUGUCUCUUAUAA